UACGACCAUCAAAAAUAAAUAAGACACAU
rnacentral:piRNA from 1 species